UACGUAGGGUGCGAGCGUUAAUCGGAAUUACUGGGCGUAAAGCGUGCGCAGGCGGUCUGUUAAGACAGAUGUGAAAUCCCCGGGCUUAACCUGGGAACUGCAUUUGUGACUGGCAGGCUAGAGUAUGGCAGAGGGGGUAGAAUUCCACGGUGUAGCAGUGAAAUGCGUAGAGAUGUGGAGGAAUACCGAUGGCGAAGGCAGCCCCCUGGGCCAAUACUGACGCUCAUGCACGAAAGCGUGGGGAGCAAACAGG
rnacentral:rRNA from 1 species